rnacentral:rRNA from 1 species
GACGAACGCUGGCGGCGUGCCUAAUACAUGCAAGUAGAACGCUGAAGAGAGGAGCUUGCUCUUCUUGGAUGAGUUGCGAACGGGGGAGUAAAGCGUAGGUAACCUGCCUUGUAGCGGGGGAUAACUAUUGGAAACGAUAGCUAAUACCGCAUAACAAUGGAUGACACAUGUCAGUUAUUUGAAAGGGGCAAUUGCUCCACUACAAGAUGGACCUGCGUUGUAUUAGCUAGUAGGUGAGGUAAUGGCUCACCUAGGCGACGAUACAUAGCCGACCUGAGAGGGUGGUCGGCCACACUGGGACUGAGACACGGCCCAGGCUCCUACGGGAGGGAGCAGUAGGGAAUCUUCGGCAAUGGGGGCAACCCUGACCGAGCAACGCCGCGUGAGUGAAGAAGGUUUUCGGAUCGUAAAGCUCUGUUGUAAGUCGAGAACGGGUGUGAGAGUGGAAAGUUCACACUGUGACGGUAGCUUACCAGAAAGGGACGGCUAACUACGUG